CAAAUCUCAAUCAGAUAAUAAAUUUUUAGCUGAAGAUUUCUUUUUUCCUCCAAACCCAUUUUUCCCACCACCAUUGGUCCCUAACCCAUUUCAGCCUCCUCCCCUCAUUCCAAACCCUUUUCAGCCACCUCCUCUUAUUCCUAACCCAUUUCAACCACCAAGCCCACCACUCAUUCCAAACCCAUUCCAGCCACCAAGCCCACCACCACUCAUCCCUAACCCAUUCCAGCCCCCUCCAAGCCCACCAACUCUCUUCCCUAACCCAUUCCAGCCCCCUCCAAGCCCACCACCCUCUUUGUUUCCUCCUUUUCCACCAUUAGUAAUACCAGGUUUGACUCCAUCACCACCACCACCUCCACCAACAAAACCAAUUUUCCCUCCUUUCCCUCCACUAUUCCCACCUCUAUUCCCUCCACCUCAUAGCCCUGGCACACCCCCUGCUUCAGCUUCUAUGAACACUUCUCCUUGAUUAGAUAUCGGAUACUAGCUACUU
rnacentral:lncRNA from 1 species